GUCAGUGUUUUAGAAAGUCAAAGAAGGCUGCUGGGCUUAAAAUGUCAUGAGACCAAGAGACAGUGGAGCAAUGCAUGUUUGAAAAGGGAAAGAGAAAAGAAGCUCAGAAGGAAUUCCAAUAUUCAGAUGUGACAUAUAGAAGAAAGUGUCGACAUGAAAGAAUUAUCCGCCAGAGAAUUCAGAGGAAAAUCAAGAAUGCAUUAUAUCAUGAAAGUAAAGAAAGGAUAAUGACCCAAAAAAGAGAGAGUUGUUGUUAUGAUGAGUCUCCAAUGAACCUGCUGCAUCCCUGCUGCAUAUCUAUUAUCUGGGGUAAUCUUCCUAAAAAGCAGAGUGUCAAGCAGCAUGCCUGGUUAUUCCAACUUAUGCAGAAAUAGAAGUGUCCUAAGCUUGGGGCAAGAUGGCCGACUAGACACAGCAAGUGGAAUUACCGCCAGCAAGGGACUGAGACAACUGGCGCACUCCUAACAAAUCAUCCGAUGGAAGGCACCAGGAGUGGCCGAGGGAAGACACAGAAGGAAGCUGGGCUGAAACAGGAGGAACAUUGCACUGGGCUACCAUGCGCUGGGACUUGUUCCUGGCCCCCAAGGACUCUCAGGGAAUGGGUGAGUUGAACUUGCAAGGAGCAACCUGUUCUAACCACGGACCUCUGGAAUUCCAGCUGCAGGAGGCCCCUCAACUGCCAUGGACACUCAGGUUGGCAGCCAGAGCUGCUUAGAGAAGUGGUAGGGGCAGCAAGCCAGCGGAUGUAGAACCCAGGGAGUUUGGUGCGAGAACAUUUGUAGCGGAGCACGGUCAGGGACUUCCAUCCCUCUAGGCUUGACAUGCUUUCAUAGGAGACUUUAGUUCUAGGGCAACAGUCGGACUUGAACUCUGCAGGGUGGUCUUGACCAUCAGACAAGGUUGGCCCAACAUGAGCACCCUUUAGUUUGCUGGCCUCUCCCAGAGCCCGAGCCUGGCAGCACCUGCUUGCAGGGAAGCCUCAGGUACCCUGAGGGCCUGCAUCAUAGCUUCUGUACUGGAAGGCCUUCCAUGACAGGGGGUAAGCGCUCCAGAAGUGCAGCUGCCAUGGCCACACACCAGCCUGCCCACUCCCACCCCACACUACAGCUUCCUGUGUGUCUACAGCAAACACCCACAUCACUUUGCUGACACAUAUGUGCACAGAUGGGUUUUGCUUUCUUUACCUUGCCAGCAUAUAUGUGUAAGUGCACCCUGCCGUGCUACUGCUGCAAGAAGAGUGCAGUCCACACCCCCUACCACCACCAUGGCAGUUAGAACCUUGGUGGUCCCAGAGCCAACCAGUCCUACACCGACCAUCACUGGCCAUUUUGCCAACACUGCCAUGGGAAUGAAACUAGUCACAGGGAACAGCAGACCUCCCCACCCUGAGUGACCACCCCUGCCUGUGGCACAUAGAAAACACAAAGAGAAUGCACACAGACCUGUGCCCAUCAGCGCCCUCCCCUAUUGCCAACACUUGUGCAAAUACAAUCGCCAGCAGGGGCCCCUGCCCCCAUAAGUUGCCUUUCCUCUGCCACUGUAGUCUACACUUGAGUGGAGACAGGCAUGCAGGCACCUGCUAACACCCUGCUGUAGCUGACCAGCAUGCACCCCACUGUGCUUCUGCUGCUGGCACAUGCAAAUGAGGAUGUAUUCCAUUGUCACCAAACUAGAAAAGGCUUUGACUGGUACCACCCAUCAGAAUGUAGGGACCAGUGGUUGGAGAGCACCAUGGCUCCCUCAGUGCAAAGGGAUUCGUAACCUCAAGGAGACAAACAACAAGAUUUGCUGGAUACAAGUUCCCCAGAAUUAGAGCAGGCAAUCCAAGAGUUUGGUAGCUGGGUGUUGGCUAUCUAGAAUCUUCCAGAAAUGAAGCAAGUUGGCUGAAUUCACCUUAUACCACAAUUAUGUCCUCAAAAUUAUCAAAUAGGAUAAAAGAAAAAAAUGCAUCCAAAGGUCAGCAACUUCAAAGAUUGAAGGAACAUAAGGAACGUUAAGUCCAAAAAGAUGAGAAAGAACCAGUGCAAGAACCCUGAAAACUGAAAGAGCCAUAGUGCCUUCUUUCCUUCCAAUGACCACACCACCUCCACCACCUCCUCUCCACGGGUUCUGAACCAAGCUGAGAUGGCUGUAAUGACAGAAAUUGAAUUCAGAGUAUGGAUAGGAGCAAUGCAUUGAAAACCAAUCCAAGGAAGCUAAGAAUCACAAAAAAAUAAUGCAGAAGCUGACAGACAAAGUAGCUAGUAUAGAAAAUAAUGUAAAGGAAUUCAUUACCAGCAGACAUGCCUUACAAGAGCUCCUGAAGGAAGCACUAAACAUGGAAAGGAAAGAAUAAAAUAGCCAGUAUAGAAAAGAACGUAAGGGAAUCCAUUACCAUCAGACCUGCCUUACAAGAGCUCCUGAAGGAAGCACUAAAUAUGGAAGGGAAAGAACAUCACCAGCCACUAUAAAAACACACUUAAGUACACAGACCAGUGACAUUAUAAAGUAACCACAUAAACAAGUCUGCAUAAUAAUCAAUUAACAUCAUGAUGACAGAAUAAAUGCACAUAUAUAAAUAUUCACCUUGAAUGUAAAUAAGCUAAAUGCCUCAAGUAAAAGGCACAAAGCAGUAAGCUGGAUAAAGAACCAAGACCUAUUGAUACACUGUCUUUAAGAGAUCAUCUCACAUGCAAUGACACCUUUAAAAUCAAAAUAAAGGGAUGGAGAAAAACCUACCAAGCAAAUGGAAAACAGAAAAAAAGCAGGAGUUGCAAUCCUAGUUUUACACAGAACGACAAGCCCAGGACCAGAUGGAUUCACAGCUGAAUUCUACCAGAUGUACAAAGAAGGGCUGGUACCAUCCUUGCUGAAACUACUCCAAAAAAAUUGAGGAAGUGGGAUUCCUCCCUAAAUCAAUCUAUGAGGCCAGCAUCAUCCUCAUACCAAAACCUGGAAGAAACACAACAAAAAAAGAAAACUUCAGGCCAAUAUCCUUGAUGAACAUUGAUGCAAAAGCCCUCGAAAAAAAAAAAAAAAAAACUUGCAAACCAAACUCAGCAGCACAUCAAAAAGCUUAUCCACCAUAAUAAAGUUGGCUUUAUCCCAAGGAUGAUAGGUUGGCUGAACAUAAAUAAAUCAAUAAAAAUGAUUCAUCACAUAAACAGAAAUAAAGACAAAAACUACAUGAUUAUAGAUGCAAAAAAAGCUUUUGAUAAAAGUUAAUACUUCUUCAUGUUAAAAACUCUCAGUAAACUUGGUAUUGAAGGAAUAUACCUCAGAACAGUAAGAGUUAUCUAUGACAAAACCACAGCCAACAUCAUACCUGAAUGGGCAAAAUUUGGAAGUGUUCCCCUCGAAAACCAGAAUAAGACAAGGAUGCCCUCUCUCACUACUCCUAUUCAACAUAUAAUUAGAAGUCCUGGCCAGAGCAAUCAGGCAAGAGAAAGAAAUAAAGGGCAUCCAAAUAGGAAGAGAGGAAGUUAAAAUAUCCCUGUUUGCAGACAUGAUCCUAUAUCUAGAAAAUCCUAUAGUAAGGACCCAAAAGUUCCUUAAGCUGAUAAACAAUGUCAUCAAAGCCUCAGGAUGCAAAAAUCAGUGUACAAAAAUCACUAGCAUUCCUAUACUCCAACAAGGGUCAAGCCAAGAGCCAAAUCUGGAACGCAACCCCAUUCACAAUUGCCACAAAAACAAUAAAAUACCUGGGAAUACAGUUAAUAAGGGAGGUGAAAUAUCUAUGCAAGGAGAACUAACAAACAAUGCUCAAAGAAAUCAGAGGUGACACAAACAAAUAAACAUCCUAUGCUCAGCUCAUGGAUUAGAAGGAUCAAUAUUGUUAAAAUGGCCAUACUGCCCAAAGAAAUUUUUUAAUUAAAUGCUAUUCCUAUUAAAUUACCAAUGACAUGCUUCACAGAACUAGAAAAAACUAUUUUAAAAUUUAUGUGGAUCCAAAAAAGAACCUGAAUAGUCAAGGCAAUCCAAAGCAAAAAGAACAUCCAGCUUAGGAUACCUCCUAAGCUGGAGCCAACGCUCUACCUGACUUCAAAGUAUAAUACAGGGCUACAGUAGCCAAAACAGCAUGGUCAUGGUACAAAAACAGACACCUAGACCAAUAAAGCAGAAUAGAGAGCCCAGAAAUAAAGCCACACAACUACAACCAUCUGAUCUUUGACAAAGCUGACAAAAACAAGCAAUGGGGAAAGGAUUUUCUAUUUCAUAAAUGGCCCUGGGAUAGCUAGCUAACCACAUGCAGAAGAUUGAAAUUAGACCUUUCCUUAUUACCAUAUACAAAAAUUAAUUCAGUAUUUAAAAAAUACCUAAAUGUAAAACCCAAAACUAUAAAAACCCUGGAAAACAACCUGGGCGGUACAAUUCUGGACAUAGAAACAAGCAAAGAUUUCAUGAAGAAGAUGCCAAAAAUUAUUGCAAUUAAAACAAAAAUUGACAAGUGGGAUUUAAUUAUACUUAAGAGCUUUUGCACAGCAAAAGAAUCUAUCAGCAGAGUAAACACACCACCCACAGAAUGGGAGAAAAUUUUUUCAAACAGUGUAUCUGACAAAGGACUAAUAUCCAGUAUCUAUAAGUAACUUAAAAAAAUUUACAAGAAAAAAACAAACAAACAGGCAGUGUGCAGUGGCUCACAACUAUAAUCCCAGCACUUUUGGAGGCCAAAGCAGAUUGAUCACUUGGGCCUAGGAGUUUGAGGCCAGUCUGGGCAACAUGGUGAAACCACAUCUCUACAAAAUAAAUAAAUAAAAAUAAAAAUAAAAAUUACAACAACAAAAACGCUAGGUGUGGUGGUGUGUGCCUGUAGUCCUAGCUACUUGGGAGGCUGAGAUGGGAGGAUCCCUUGAACAAAGGAGACAGAGGCUGCAGUGAGCUGAAAUUGCACCACUGCCCUCCAGCCUAGAUGACAGAGUGAGAUCCUGUUUCAAAACAAACAAAUAAUUCCAUUAAAAAGUGGGUAAAAGAUAUGAAUGGACACUUUUCAAAAGAACACAUACAUUCAGCCAACAAUCAUAUGAAAAGAAGCUCAACAUCACUGAUGAUUAGACAAAUGCAAAUCAAAACCAAAGAGAAAAACAUCUCACACAAGUCAGAAUGAUUAUUAUUAAAACUCAAAAACUAACAGAUGCUGCCAAGGUUGUGGAGAAAAAGAAACACUUAUACACUGUUGUUGGGAGGGUAAAUUAGUUCAACCAUUGUGGAAGACAGUGUGGCCAUUCCUCAAAGACCUAAAAAUCGAAGUACCAUCCAACCCAGCAAUCUCAUCACUGGGUAUAAACCCAAAAGAAUAUAAAUCAUUUUAUCAUAAACACACAUGCACACAUAUGUUUGUUGCAACACUAUUCACAAUAGCAAAGACAUGGAAUCAACCUAAAUGCCCAUCAAAGGUAGAGGGGAUAAAGAAAAUGUGGUACAUAUAGACCAUGGAAUACUAUGCAGCCAUAAAAAUGAAUGAGAUAAUGUCUUUUGCAGGAAUAUGGAAGGAACCGAAGGUUCUUACCCUUAGCAAACUCACAUGAACAGAAAACCAAAUACCACAUGUUUUGACCUAUAAGUAGGAGCUAAAUGAUGAUUACACAUGGACACGUAGAAGAAGGGAACAGCAGACACUGGGAUCUAUUGGAGGGUGAAGGGUAGGAAGAGGGAGAAGAUCAGGAAAAAUAACUAAUUGGUACUAGACUUAAUACCUGGGUGAUGAAAUAAUCUGUACAACAAAUCCCCAUGACACAAGUCUACCUAUAUAACAAAUACACACAGGUACCUCUAAACUUAAAAUAAAAGUUAAAGAAACAAAGGCACUCUUAGAAUGCUGAAUUGAAAUGGAGUCAGUGGGCAGGCCCAGGCUUCCAUCCCAGAAAAAUGAUGGAGAUUUUUUUCCACUCUUGAAAAAGCACAAUGAGAUACCAUCUCACAUAAAUCAGAAUGGCUAUGUUUAAAAAGUUUAGAAAACAACAGAUGCUGAUGAGACUGCAGAGAAAAGAGAUCACUUACACAUUGUUGUUGGGAAUGCAAAUUAGUUCAGCCACUGUGGAAACAGUUUGGAGAUUUCUUGAAGAACUUGAAACAGAACUACAUCUGACCCAAAAAUCUAAAAGAAAAUAAAUCAUUCCACCAGAAUGACACAUGCACUUGUAUGGUUAUCAUGGCACCAUGCACAAUGGCAAAGACAUAGAAUCAAUCUAGGUGCCCGUCCAUGGCAGAUUGGAUGAAGAAAAUGUGGUACAUAUACACCAUGGAAUACUAUGCAGCCAUAAAAAACAAUGAGAUCAUGUCCUUUGCAACAACAUGGAUGCAGCUAGUGGCCAUUAUCUUAAGCGAAUUAAGACAGGAACAGAAAACCAGAUAUCACAUGUUCUCAUUUAUAAAUGGGAGCUAAACAUUGAGUACUCAUGGACAUAAAGAUGGGAAUAAUAGAUCCUGGGGACUAUUGGAGGGGCGAGGGAAGCAGGUAAACAAGAAUUGAAAAACUAAUUGUCAAAACAAAGGUUGAAAAAGUAUGCUCACUACCUGGGUGAUGGGAUCAUUCAAAUCCCAUACCUCAGCAUCAUGCAAAAUACCUAUGUAACAAACCUGCACAUAUACCCCUUGAAUCUAAAAAAAAAGUUGAAAUUAUUUUAAAAAUUUUAAAAUAAAAAUACUUAAAAGAAUCAAUGCGUGCAUGGGUGGUGGUACCCAUCACUACAUGGACAUAAGCCAUAAAUGUUUGGCAGCUUACUACAGUUUCACUCAAUGUGGCCUUGGCAAACAGGGGUGAUGGGAAAUCCUCCCUCUGGCCAGGACUUCAGGUAGUGUAUCUGUUAUUACAGUUUGUGGAAUAUAUAGAGACUCCUUAGCAGUAGCAAUUUUUCUAGCCAAAUGGUUACAAAUACCAAGAAGAAGAAGGAGAAGAAGAGGAAGAAGAGGAGGAAGAGGAAGAAGAAGAAGAAGAAGAAGAAGAAGAAGAAGAAGAAGAAGAAGAAGAAGAAGAAGAAGAAGAAGAAGAAGAAGAAAAAGAAGAAGAGGAAGAAGAGGAAGAAGCAGAAGAAAAGAAGAAGAAGAAGGAGGAGGAGGAGGAGAGGAAGAAGAAGGAGGAGGAGGAGGGGGAAGGGGAAGAAACAGGGAACAAGGAAUUACAGAGUAGAGACAGUGAGUAAUAUUUAUCACAUUUUAACGCCCACCAGAGAGCACUUCAACACAGCACAUGCAAUAAAGAGCCAAAUAUAAAAAAUAGCCAGGUGAUAUGGUUUGGCUUUGUGCCCCCACCCAAAUAUCAUCUUGAAUUGUAGCUCCCAUAAUUUCCACGUGUUGUGGGAGGGACCUGGUGGUAAAUAAUUGAAUCAUGGGGGUGGAUCUUUCCUGUGCUAUUCUCAUGAUAGUGAAUAAGUCUCAUGAGAUCUGGUGGUUUUAUAAAGGGGAAUUUCCCUGCACAAGCUCUUUUCUCUUGCCUGCUGCUAUGUGAGAUGUGACUUUGACCUUCCGCCAUGAUUGUGAGGCUUCCCCAGCCACAUGGAACUGUGAGUCCAUUAAACAUUUUUAUUUUGUAAAUUGCCCAGUCUAAGAUAUGUCUUUAUCAGCAGCAUGAGAGCAGACUAAUACAGCAAGCAAAUUUUAUUAGCCGGGCUUAGUCACUGGACACAUCAAUAUUGGCAUGUUGGGCACAUGAACAAAGUGGUUUUAGUGGCAGAGAUGGAGGCUAAGUAUGAAGAUAUCGAUAUGACUAUUCUAGCUAUUAGCACCACCAAAUGUCUAUCCCAGCAGCAAGAAAGCUGAAAGCUAAACCCCAACGGGAAUUUAAUUCUCAAGGAGAUCAGAUGGCCUCUUGAAGACAAGUUGCCUAAAAUCAGCCUUUCUACUCUGCAAUGGUUUAAGGUGUACAUCUUCAGGUUCAACACAUGGACAAAUUUUGUGUUACUGAGGUUUGGCGUAUGAAUGAUCCCAUCACCCAGCUAGAAUUCAAGCCUUAGAUAUUUUGAGUUUUUAAAGGUAAGCCAACAACACAUUCUAGAAAUAAACAAGCUAUACAUGCAAAUUUCCUUUUUAACGAAACACAACAUUCACUUCUAACACAGCUCAGAAAAAUAUAUCGCUUGAGGAGAAAAUGUUAACACGCUUGCUACAUUCCAAACUGUGAAUCUGUAUGUGAUGUGUUUAGCACCAAAAAUCAGCAUUGGCACUUAUCUGAAAAAGAGUAAAUAUAUUAGUUAUUGAAAAUUCUACUCCUCCAUUAUCAUUUAUUUACGUGGAAUGUAAAAUUCCUGGGUUAUAAAAAUACAAUUUAAAUGUUAAAUUUAACCAAUUUGAUAUCUUAGGUGAUUCCAGUAAAAUGUAUUAUAUUUUUCAGUAGGUAUAGAGGAAAAAAUGUUACUGUAAUAAAGUAGCUUUAAAUAGUUAUAAAGUGAUAAUUCAUCCCGAAUUUUUUGCUAUUUUGUUUUUGUUUAAUUUUCUUGCUAAUAUUAUUAAAUUGUGGGACAAAAGUUUGAUCUUUGACUAUGUAUGUUGUACCUACUUCUAAAUAUUUAUGUUCCCAAGUGUGUUUAUUCUUCACUAAUUGGGAAAGUUAUAAAAAUGGCACUAGAUCACCCUUUUUCAUACCAGUGAAUACCGAAUAUGUGAAAGAUUAGAUCUUAACAGUUUUCAUUAUUACAUUUUCUUUUUUAUAAUAUAGCUAGUUAUACAUUUGGUAUUGUUAGUUUUAAUAUUUUCGUAAUGCAUUUCAUCAAUGUGAGAGGGCAGGAGGCAACCAAAUGCCUAGGCAGAUAGGGGUGGGUCCCUGGUGAAACGUCACCUCUAAGCCGAAGACAAUUUAAAGCCUGAAAGUCAAGCUACAAGUUAAAUCCUCAGACUGGCUUGGCAACUUGUCUCCCUGUUUAGUGGGCUUUCCUCUGAUUUCCCCACCCUUCACCUAUUUUACAUAUACCUACCCUUCCCUAAUUGGUUUCUACACUGUCAUGCCCACCUUUGAAUGAUGUCUUCACUUUAACCUUUUAUCGUUAUUGAAAAAUUACAUUUAAAAAUUAUCUGUAAAUAUUUGGGAGAAAUGUCAUAGGCAAUCACUUAAUUUGCUUAUGAUGGUUGUCCUUCUGUGCAAAAAAUACUGACUAUCCAAUGUGAGACACAGAAAGGGUUGUGGAGCCAUGUUUUUCAUUUCUUCCAGCAAUAAAUGUUUAAUUUGCUUGGGAAAAGCAAACACUAAGUUGACAAUGACUCAAUUUUUAUGGUACAUGGAAAGAUCUAUCAUUUUCAAAUAUGUAUGUCAUUCAAUAUUUUCAGUAAAUACUUCCAUAUUGGUAGAACAUGCUGUAAACCAAAUUAUUCUUACAGUUUAGAAGUCAAUUUUUCAGAAAUUCCACGAAUUAGAUUAUCAUUACCUUUUUUUUUUUUUUUAAUUAUACUUUAAGUUCUGGGAUACAUGUGCAGAACGUGCAGGUUUGUUACAUAGGUUUACAUGUGCCAUGGUAGUUUUCUGCACUCAUCAACCUGUCAUCUGCAUUAGGUAUUUCUCCUAAUGCAAUCCCUCCCCUAGAGCCCUAACCCCCAACAGGCCCCGGUGUGUGAUGUUCCCUCCUUCCCUGUGCCCUUAUGUUCUCAGUGUUCAACUCCCACUUAUGAGCAAUUAUGAGUGACAACAUGCGGUGUUUGGUUUUCUGUUCCUGUGUUAGUCUGCCGAGAACGAUGGUUUCCAGCUUCAUCCAUGUCCCUCCAAAGGACAUGAACUCAUUCUUUCCUAUGGCUGCAUAGUAUUCCAUGAUGUAUGUGUGCCACAUUUUCUUAAUCCAGUCUAAAAUUGAUGGGCAUUUGUGUUGGUUCCAAGUUCUCGCUAUUGUGAAUAAUGCUGCAAUAAACAUACAUGUGCAUGUGUCUUUGUAGUAGAAUGAGUCAUAAUCCUUUGUGCAUAUACCCAGUAAUGGGAUUGCUGAUCAAAUGGUAUUUCUAGUUCCAGAUCCUUGAGGAAUCGCGACACUGUCUUACACAAUGGUUGAACUAAUUUAUACGCCCACCAACAGUGUAAAAGCCUUCCUAUUUCUCUACAACCUCUCCAGUAACUGUUUUUUCCUGACUUUUUAAUGAUCGCCAUUCUAACUGGCAUGAGAUGGUAUCUCAUUGUGGUUUUGAUUUGCAUUUCUCUAACAACCAGUGAUGAUGACCUUUUUUUCAUGUUUUUUGGCCGCAUAAAUGUCUUCUUUUGAAAGUGUCUGUUUAUAUCCUUUGCCCAGUUUUGAUGUUUUUUUUUUAUUUUCUUGUAAAUUUGUGUAAGUGCCUUGUAGAUUCUGGAUAUUAGCCCUUUGUCAGAUGGAGAGAUUGCAAAAUUUUCUCCCAUUCUGUAGGUUGCCUGUUGACUCCGACGAUAGUUUCUUUUGCCAUGCAGAAGCUCUUUAGUUUAAUUAAAUCCCAUUUGUCUACUUUGGCUUUUGUUGCAAUUGCUUUUGGUGUUUUAGUCAUUAAGUCAUUGCCCAUGCGUAUGUGGAACAGAACAGAAGACUCAGAAAUAACACCACACAUCUACAACCAUCUGAUCUUUGACAAAAACAAGCAAUGGGGAAAAAAUUUCCUAUUUAAUAAAUGGUGUUGGGAAAACUGGCUAGCCAUAUGCAGAGAACUGAAACUGGACCCCUUCCUUAUACCUUAUACAAAAAUUAACUCAAGAUGGAUUAAAGAUUUAAACGUAAGACCUAAAACCAUAAAAACCCUAGAAGACAUUUUAUGUCUUAAGUGAAAGUUUUGUGAUAAAAUGUUUAUUCUAUCAUUUUAUGAUGAUGAACUUUGGUUUAUUUUAAACCCCUAUAAUGAUUGGAAUUUUAUUUUGUUUUACCAGUCUUCAUAAUAAAGGAAUAAACAAAAUCAUGAAAAAUAACCUACUGCAUUUAAAUGAGAGUGCAGUGAGCCAUUUAACAUUAUUCGUGUUAUAUCAUGAACAUGUGAAUUGCUUGGCAAUAGCAGACUCAUCCAAAAAGUUCAGACAAUUAAAAUGGAGAAAUAGUGUUGUCCAAAGCAUGUUUAAUUCCCUAGAUUGCUUUCAGCUAUGAUUUUUCAAAUUUACUCACUUCAACAUUUCUGAUGUUCAAUAUUGACCAAUGAUAUUUCCUUGCCUGAAACUAUUAGCCAAAAAUAAGGAAAUAAAUAAAACAAGCUUGAAUUUGGGUGAAAUUUUAUAUAAAGAUGAAAUGCUAUACAUUGUUUAUAUAGUGUAUGAAUAGAAUAACAAUUUGUCAACCCAGUCUAAUGCAAAGUUAGCCACAUAAUUGUCUUAAAUAUUUGAGGAAGAUAUUUAAAGUAAUGCAAGUGAGAUAUGUGAUUUUGUUAAAAUGCCAUAAUGAUAAAAAUGUACUAUAGACUGUGUGGCUUAUCAAUAAUGGAAACUUAUUUCUCAUAGUCUUGGAGGAUGGAAAUUGGAGAUGAGCACCAUCCUAACCGGGUUUUAUGAGGAGCCUUUUCAAGUUUGCUGAUUAUUAUUAUUAUUAUCAUUAUUAUUAUUAUUUGAGAUAAAGUCUCGCUCUGUCGCCCAGGCUGGAGUGCAGUGACAUGAUCUCGGCUCACUGCAACCUCCGCCUCCUGGAUUCAAACGAUUCUCCCACCUCAGCCUCCCCAGUAGCUGGGAUUACAGGUGCCUGACACCGCGCCUGGCUAAUUUUUUGUAUUUUUAGUAGAGAGGGGGGUUUCUUCAUGUUGGUCAGGCUGGUCUUGAACUCCUGACCUCAGGUGAUCCGCCCACCUCAGCCUCCCAAAGUGCUGAGAUUACAGGCAUGAGCCAACGUGCCCAGCUGACUACUAGUUUUCAUUGCAUCUUCACUUGCAGAAAGAGCUAGAGCUAGCUCUAUGGCUUCUUAUUAAGGCACUAAUCCCAUUCAUGAAGGCUUCACCCUUGUGGCCUAACUACCUCCCAAAGGCCCCACCUUCAAACACCAUUAUUCAGGGACUUGGAUUUCAACAUAUGAACUUUGCAGGGGGAUGUUUGUGGGGGGGUUACAAACAUUCAGAUCAAAGGCUACAUCAU
rnacentral:lncRNA from 1 species